CCAAGUUUGUGGAGGAACGCAGGAAGCAGCUGCAGACCUACCUGCGCAACGUCAUGAACAAAGUCAUCCAGGCAGUCCCUGAGUUUACCGCCAGCCCCCAGAAGGAGACCCUGACCCAGCUGAUGCCCUUCUUCGUCGACAUCACCCCUCCUGGAGAAGCGCUAACCAAGAACAGCCGGCCCAAAGUGGCUUCCCGCUUCCCCAAGCUAUCCCGAGGUCACCCCAGGGAGACGCGCAACGUGGAGCCCCAGAGCGGUGACCUCUGACCUCGACGGCACCCUGGACUCGGGCCUUACGUGCUGCGCCAGCUGUCUCCAGCCCGGCCACGGCAGCUGGCCCCUGCCGCCUCGGAGGGACCACCCUACCCCCACCGGUGAACCCCAGAGAGCACACCUGCCCCGCUGGGCACAUGACACCCCGAUUAAACUGGGCCGUGUGAGAGCAGGGCGGCUCUUCACUGGACAGAUGUGGGCCCUGCUCUCCCCACGCCCCGCCUGGGGCUUCAAGGGCCAGACAUUCCCCUCCCUCCAGCCCAGAGGCCAUCCAGCGGGUGGGCACCGGGUCAGGCUCAGAGCCCCCUGGUCAUGAUGCACAAGUCUGUCUCAUUUGGUCAGAAGGUUCACUCACUCUUAACUCUUUCCCACGUGGGAAUUCGAAUGACUGUUACUUCCCCCCCCCCAUUUAAUGUAAUUGCCUGCUACAACCUAUGAACACAGAGGGUUGGGAGGGGGGGCUAGAUCCUUUCCACGCACGCCCCACCAGUGGUCAGUAAACACCCUAGUUCUUGCCACCAGGCUCCAGGGAGACAGUCCUGUGGCCUUCGUGCAGCGGGGCCAUUAGGGAUGGGGAACUGUGGCUCUUGGAGAACUUCCUACCUCCUCUCUGGGUGGUUCUGGAAGGACUGGCCCCCGUAGGAAGCCCGCGUGCACCUGGUCAGGCCAGCCGUCAGCAGCAACCUAGUGACCUGUACCAGAAAGCCCUGGGCUAUCCAGGCGUUGGUGGCCUUGGCCGCAAAAGCCGAGAGGAGAGUCCUCAAGGCUUUGAGAGACUCGGUUCCGGGAAGCACUCCAGAAGGUUCUGGGGGGCCUCUAGGUGUUCCGUGGAGCUCAGCGUGACUCUCUGUGAACUUAUGUGAACAUGACUCACUCCGAACAAAUCAUGAUUGUCCCCUAAAGACGGUGCAUGUGUUGUCGGCCAGUAUGCUCUCGGUGGGAGCAGGGCCCUGGGUGCACCGCAAGGUUGACCCCUCUGCUUCUCCCAUUCAGAGAGCAUCCCCCUGCCAUGAGCAGCAGGUGGGAACAGGAGGAGGAGCAGCGUCAGAUCACCCCCGUGGGACCAGAGCUGUUUGGACAGUUUUAACAUCCAGAAGCGUGGAACUCUCCCCGACCCUGGGCAGGAGCCACCCUCAGCUGCUGAUACAAAGAAGGACGAAAAGGCGGCAUAACUGUGUGAGAUGCAGAGGGCUGAGCAUGCCUCAGCUCACGCCUGGGUGAGCAGCGUGGGUCAUCAUCGAGUGUGCAGUGGAGACCCUGGAAGGGACGGCCUGGAGGGGCUGUGCCGCGUGCCCCCUGCUCACCAGAGGGAGGCUCGUCAGAGCUGACAUUCGCACACGGCCCUCCAGGGACGCGAGGAGGCUGGAGCGACUUCGGAGGGGACGUUCUACCUGGUUAACCAGGCCCGGGGGAGCGACACGAGCUGGCUGUCCUCCGUGGAUGGAGGUGGGAGUGUGUGUAUGUGGGGGCCCUGCUGUCAGCCCAUGGGGUCAGAGGACCCGAGGGACGCCGUGUCCUAGAAAGGCAGCGUGGUUCCUCUCCCCCUCGUGUGCCGAGGGAUCCACUGCACAUGCGCCGUGUCGGAAUCCCCACGCUCCACAGCACUGCCUUGAACGCGGAGCCCUCCUCCACCCAGGCCUCCAGGACCCUCUGGAAGUUCCAGCUGCCCCAGAGCUCCACCCCACACGUGGGUCCCUCCACAGGGGUCACUUUGAGGCCAGCUGACGGCUGCAUAGCCAGAUCUGAACCCAGGGUGUCUCCGCUCUGUUCACAUGAGACCCAGAAGGGAUCCAGCGCCCCGACAUUCUCCAGGGCCAAGGAUUCUGAUCAGCCAGGCUGUGUUGGCGCCUGACCCCAGACACACAUCUGAGUACAAUUUCUAGCCUCUCCUUCUCCAACUACCCCACCAGGAAGCGGCUUUGACAUUCUGCGCAUGGAGUGAAAAAACACCAAAAAAAAAAAAGGGGGGCACCCAGAGCUACGACAGACAGAUACUGAGUGGGAACACAAGAGCACUCUCGGGCUGCAUUUGGAAAGAAGCUCUGCCUUCCCGUGUUGAAAGCUUAAUUAUUCAUGGGAAGCUGCCCUGCCCUCCCAAAUGCGGGUUGUAGAAAGCAUGUUCCGAGGGGCCCUGCGGGGGCCCCUCCAGGCUGCUUGCCCUCUGUGCCCCCGUUUCUGUGACCCUGCAGAAACCUCGAUCUUCAGUCCAUCUGGUUUCAGCUCAGAUACGCGUGUGACGUGCGCAUCACAGCUCCUCCUCAAAGCCUUACCUCUGGAGUCACACGGAAUGUUCUGCCAUGAUAUAGCCCUGCCAGGGCUGCGGGAUGGAUUUAGAAGGGGCAGACCCCCAGCUCCUGGAGAAAGAGAACAAAACCCCGAGGCCCAGGCUGAGACCUGGGCACAGAAUGCCACCUCUGAAGCCGUGUCAUUGUCGUGCAUCAACCCCGAUCUAGGUCAGAAGGCAGGAUGCCUCCCCGCCCCCGCCCCGAGACCCGUCAGGUGGAAGACAGCGCCCCCCGCCUUACACACUCACAGGACCAGCUGACAUUGGCUUCUGCCUCCUUGAUCAAAUCAGAAGAUUCUUUGGCACCUAAGAAAGCACUCCCCAUUCUUCAGAAAGGAACGGAAGGGCCCUUCUGUCUCCAGAAGGCCUUGGCCCUCUGGCGCCCCCCUCCACUGGGAGCAGGAAGUGCCCCUCCAAGUCCCCAGGGCACAGCCCAGCCGGCUGUUCAGGGGUGGCUGCAUCUUGUCUUGCUCCCUCCUUUUCCCCCAGGCGGAAGGAAAGCACAGAAAAAGCAGACACACCUCCUCUUCAGAGAAAACCAGAGCUCCCGGGAGCGAGGGCUUAGGCUGGUGUGCACCCCGCCCUGAAGCACACUUUCUCAGCCGCUGCUCCCGGAGCCCCUGUGGGAUCCUGGCCUGAAACCACACAGAUCUCUCUACAGUCAGGCCCCGGGUGAGGAGGCGGCUUUCCCGAGAGGCUGCUGCACACCACAGUGGUCGCCGCGAAUACCAUAGCCUGGCCCGUCUAAGCGCUUCCUGGCCAUAGAAGGAUGCCUGAUGGAGCUGCAGAGACGGAAUACCAUCUUGUGAGUCCUGGCAAGAGGCGCAAACAGUGAGGGAGGGGGCGGUGGGCCAGGGUGUGUGGACCAGGUGUGGUCACCCAGGGCAGGGCCCGUAGGAUGCCGCCUUUGAUAACCGCUGGAUUUGACAGCACUGCCAGGCUGUGUUGUGCCUUUCAGAACACAGAGGCAAUCAAAGUUGUUUACAUCCCGGGACUGGUAACACAGCUGCAGCCAGUUCUGAGGCAGCGGGCACUGGAGGCCCGAGGAUUCAUCCCCAGGUUUUGGACCCUCCGGCCAGCCCGGGGGAUCCGAAGCUGUGCUGCUUUUGUCUCCUGACACCCAGCGCCCUGGGAUCUGUGGCCCGGGGUGGCCUUGCAUCCUCUUCCUCAUGAGACAGUGUACCCACCAGAGGGCCUGGUCACAGGGCCGCAGGCCUCAGCAACCCCCAUGUCACCUGCUCACCUUCACAGGGGUGCAGCCGCCAGCUGGCCCCACACCUAGAAGCCAGAGCCCGUUCUCCGGUCCCAGCAGACCUCUCCUAGCCAGUCACCUUCAGCAUCCUUCAUCCCUCAGCCCGGCAGCUUGGCGCCAGCGCCGGUGCAUGGGAGGCACCUUCCCCUGGAAGGGGCGUCUCACCUGGGUGUGUCACUGACAACCCCUGUGUUCUCAGCCUGGAGCUGGGAUGGGCAGCCUCUAAGACCUAUCAGAGAAGGACCCUGCCCGGAAGCAUCAGGUGAGCUCAGAGCUUUCUCGAAGGAGCAUGCCACGCUCAAGCUUCUACCCCAAAGGCAAUACUUGUCUUGACUCUGCCUCAGUGCUCCCCCUCCGGAUGGUGCCACCCAUGCUGGACCUUACCCCCAGCUGGGUGGCCCCAGCAGGCAGGCGUCUGCUCACGAGCAAGGCCUUUUGCAACAAUCCUUUUUCAAAAUAUUGCGCUUUGUUUCUUUAACAUUAAGUGUCUACUGUUCAGAUUGGCUGUGUAGCACUGUAUAUUUUAUCAAACGUUACUAUGCCAAAACCUUCAUUUUUCCUGUUUCCCUAACACGUGGUCUUGAUCAUGUUUCUAAAAGAAAACUUGAGCUGCUGGAUAGAUAGGAGUGAGCAGGGAGCACUGCCCAUCGCCACGCUCUGAGCAGAGCAGCUGUCUGCCCAGCCCACAGUGGUGGAAACGCCCUGGCUCAGUUCAUCUCGGCAUUUCAGAUCAUCCUGUUUACCAUGCAUGCCUGUUGCCAGGAAUGGGCCUGAUUUUGGUAGUUCUCAAUUCUAACAACCGCAUUGAAUGGGUUUCCUUACUUACUCAAUCCAUUUCUGAAGAAGAAAAAAAAAAAUCUGGUUUUUCUAAAAGAUGGGUGAGCUUAUAGCAAGAAUGAGCAACCCCACUAGAAGAACAGAAUGGCCAGAUUCACGAGGGUUUCAAGGUCCAGGGAUUCAGUUGUUUCUGGCACAGGGAUGAUUUGCCAUCCUCACCGAAGACCACUAGCUGACCUGCCACGAUGCCCCCCCUUGCCCUCAGAUCCCAUCCCUGCCUUCACGAACUGCAAGGGGAGAAGCCACGUCCCUCUGGCAAUUCUGUCUGCCAUCGCUGGAGGCCAUACAAGGGGACCUUUGCCACAUCUGGGACUGAAGACAGAGAAGAUGGGGGAUCGCACGUUUGCAACUAGCGUUGCGAUGAGCUGGAGAAUGGGCAUUUCCAGGGGUGAGGGGGUGGUGGAGCUAAUUAGGGCUUCUUAUUGCCUGGGAUCCAUCCUAGAAAGAAUGUCUUUACCUCUGUAACCUUAGCGGCACCAUCUCUGGCAUCACCAUUUGGUCAAACACACUGCUUAACUCAUCAGAUGCUGACUUGGUGGUGGAAAAAUUCUUUUGACUGCAGGCUCCAUGGUGAUCCAGCUGGAGUCACCCAUGAGUGGGUCCCCGUGAGCUGUCUGUUCGAGGGGAACAGGUGGCAAAUCUGGAGUCUAUUGUCUGGAUGUAAGUGAGGCUGAGAAGUCCACACAUGGGCUGUGAAACGCGUAGUAUUAUCUUAACUACCCUCUUCUGUUAAGGUUUACACAAUAGAAUUUUUAAACAAAUGUGUUUAAUUUUCUAAAAUCUCUUGUAUUAAAAUUUUCUUUUGGAAUAAGCUGUGGUAAUUUUGUUACAAUCUAGUUGAGACACACCUCUUUACAAUGACAAAAUUAAAACGGUUACAUUUUCUAAAUUA